AGUGGUCAGCUCUCGUCUUGUCAACACCUCCCAUCAUGGCACUCAAGGUGUUAAUGAUGUGUACUUUGAUGGUCAACACCUGCCUGGCCUCCCUCCUGCCACGCCUCCCGCAGCACACUCACGACCACACCUACGACUCCACCCCUCACGACCACACCUACCACGACCACACCUACGACACCACCCCUCACGACUCCACCCCUCACGACUCCAC